rnacentral:rRNA from 1 species
CCGCAUAAGCCCACGACCCGGCAUCGGGUAGAGGGAAAAGGAGCAAUCCGCUUUGAGAUGGCCUCGCGUCCGAUUAGCUAGUUGGUGAGGUAACGGCCCACCAAGGCGACGAUCGGUAGCCGGACUGAGAGGUUGAACGGCCACAUUGGGACUGAGACACGGCCCAGACUCCUACGGGAGGCAGCAGUGGGGAAUAUUGCACAAUGGGGGAAACCCUGAUGCAGCGACGCCGCGUGGAGGAAGAAGGUCUUCGGAUUGUAAACUCCUGUUGUUGAGGAAGAUAAUGACGGUACUCAACAAGGAAGUGACGGCUAACUACGUGCCAGCAGCCGCGGUAAAACGUAGGUCACAAGCGUUGUCCGGAAUUACUGGGUGUAAAGGGAGCGCAGGCGGGAAGACAAGUUGGAAGUGAAAUCCAUGGGCUCAACCCAUGAACUGCUUUCAAAACUGUUUUUCUUGAGUAGUGCAGAGGUAGGCGGAAUUCCCGGUGUAGCGGUGGAAUGCGUAGAUAUCGGGAGGAACACCAGUGGCGAAGGCGGCCUACUGGGCACCAACUGACGCUGAGGCUCGAAAGUGUGGGUAGCAAACAGGAUUAGAUACCCUGGUAGUCCACACUGU